rnacentral:tmRNA from 1 species
GCCCUUCACAUCCCCAUGGAUCAGACUUAUGUUCAAAGUGUCCUUCGGGACUAUGGACAUAAACGCGCGCGUAAUAAGCGGAUCGGACCCGGGGGCGGUACCCGGCAGCUCCACCAAACAAUAGGGGGCUGAAAUAGGAUCGACGAACGUCUAAAGGUGUUAGCUUUGUCUCGGCUGUCUGCCACCGUUAUCG